rnacentral:rRNA from 1 species
UACGAAGGGGGCUAGCGUUGUCCGGAUUUAUUGGGCGUAAAGAGCGUAUAGGCGGCCAGGUAGGUCUGCUGUGAAAACUCGAGGCUCAACCUCGAGACGUCGGCGGAAACCAUCUGGCUAGAGUCCGGAAGAGGAGUGUGGAAUUCCCGGUGUAGCGGUGAAAUGCGCAGAUAUCAGGAAGAACACCAAUGGCGAAGGCAGCUCUCUGGGACGGUACUGACGCUGAGACGCGAAAGCGUGGGGAGCGAACAGG